rnacentral:lncRNA from 1 species
ACUUUUGAUUAUAGGGAAUGGGUAGUGAACUGAUUUGCAACUCCAAAAACAGACCUACAUGUUCUAAUUUGGUCCAUAGUUUUUUAAUCUAUAGCAUAUAAGCAUCCUAAGAAUGCAUUUGAAAAGUUAUUGCUAUCAUUGUUAUUAAAAAGAGUAGGAUAUUAGCCUUGCAGGCUGCUCUACUGCUUAGGCCUCUGGCAACGGCCAAAUGGUCAGUGUCAUCAUGUUAUUGUUGUGCUGGGAGGAGAAGCAUGGGAAGGCAGGAGUGCUGGUAUAGAGCCUACCCCUUACCUUGCCUGUCAGUGUGGGCACAGCAGGAUGCAUCAGCUUUUGUCAGAUACUGAGACAAGGGGUCUCACUUUGCUGGCCUCUGCAAGGAGACUCGAGGUAGUGGGGAGGGCUUGGUGCUUCCAGAACAAAUAUUCUGAGAUCCUGAGUGCCCAGAAGAGAGGGUAUGGCAAGGGGACAGCAGCUCUUAGUGUAGGGAAGGGAGGGCAUCUUCUUAAUUGUUCCGAUUGAGGUAUUUAGUUAUGAAAACUUUGCCCUCCUUCCUACACAUGAUCUUGCUUAGUGUCAACUUGCUUUGUUACUCUGAGAAAUUUCCCCAGUGUAUCUUUCUUGCUAGUAUUGAUUUCUUUAUAGGUUCUGAAGAUGUGUGUGUGUUUUUUUUUUUUUUUAAUCUUUCAAGUCUUUCCUCUAAAGAAGCUAUUUAAAGUUCUAGUUACAGGCCCCUAAAUCACCUCUCAGAUUUGAGAUAAUCUGUGUUAACGUGUACAAGAAGUUAAAGGUCUGAGGAGGGGGAUGGCAUCUAUCUGUGAAUUGUCAAUAUGGGCACAUCAAUAAGAGGAACAUCUUACUUGGUGCCUUCUUCAGAUUUUUUUUUUUUUGCAUAAUAUUAUAGGAAAUGGAGUAAAAACAACCAGAAUGCAAGGAAUUACCUUCUUGGUUGUAUUUAUUUUCACUGUAAGCUAGCAGCUUACCAUGUGUGUACUUACAAGGGACCUUGAGAUCAUUGAAUUCAUUUAUUAUAUGAGUAAAAGACCUUGCAUCUAAGAAACAUAAGUAACUUGAUGGAGACAUGUAGACAUACAUGUAAACAUGUACAUCCCCGAUGGAAUUGUUCUAGUACAUAUACUCUCGUACAUACUGAAACUGGUUCUGCUUCCAUCCUUCUUAUAAACGGCAGAGUAUUCGCUUAUAAGCUGUGCAUGUCCUUCUUAUCUUAACCAUCUAUCAAUUAUUUACAAUACCUGAUACUGAGUAAGGAGCUCUCACACUGUGUUGUUCAGAGAAUAGUAAGAAAAAUAAUUCUGAAUAUAACAGUACAGGGACAUUCUAUCUGUCUGUCUGUCUGUCUGUCUGUCUGGUCUGUGUGUGGUUAGGCAAACAUGUGCAGAGACCAAGGCUAAUUGAGACUCAUCUUCUGUCUAGUGUCCGGGCAUAUGGUUCUGCGGGAUCUCCUGUGAGCAUACAGAGAUUUAGGUUUGUACCUUUUUCCUUCUGGAGAUUCCUCUCAACAUUUCAAGGGAGCAUGGAAAGAGACAGGUCAUGUAGUGUCAUAAACUAGGAGACCUUGAGAGAGACCAAGUCUAUAAGGCUUUAAAGAACUUGAAAGCAACCACAAAUUAAAUUCUUUUUCUGUUGGUGAGAGAAUGUGAGCUGAGGGGAUGAACCACAUUAUUUUUAUUUCAUACUUAGAGUUUUGUUUUACUGUUUCAUGAGUACUGGUCUUAUUUUGGAGAAAUGUUACAGUUUUGUUUUGUUUUGUUUUGUUUUUUUGUUUUUAGACUCUUAUGACCCCUGGUCUUCCUAAAAGGAUAGAGGUCUGCAUCAUCUACUCCACACCCCUUCUCAGUAGAGGGUUAUAUGGGGGGGUUAGGAUACUACUGGGUAGGAUGUGUUCAUUCAUUAAAUGAUUGCUAUGCUUUCUGGGGCUAUACUUCAUACAGUCUUCCAUUCUCCAGAGAAUGUUUGCUUUGUUUCUGAGACAGUCUUGCUGUAUAGGCCAGCUGACCUCAUACAGUCCCUCUGUCUCAGCUUCUCGAGUGCUGGAAUUAUAGUUGUGUGCCUUUUCCCUGUUGUAAUUUACAUCUCUUUGGGGAAAUCUAUCAAGAGUUUUCAAAUCUUGUUCACUGAAAAUCCUUGGCCCUGUU